AUUGAACGCUGGCGGCAGGCCUAACACAUGCAAGUCGAGCGAGCGGCGGACGGGUGAGUAAUGUCUGGGAAACUGCCUGAUGGAGGGGGAUAAAUACUGGAAACGGUAGCUAAUACAGCAUACCAUCAGAUGUGCCCAGAUGGGAUUCGCUAGUAGGUGGGGUAACGGCUCACCUAGGAGACGAUCCCUAGCUGGUCCGAGAGGAUGACCCGCCACACGGGAACGGAGACACGGUCCAGACUCCUACGGGAGGCAGCAGUGGGGAAUAUUGCACAAUGGGCGCAAGCCUGAUGCAGCCAUGCCGCGUGUAUGAAGAAGGCUUUCGGGUUGUAAAGUACUUUCAGCGGGGAGGCGUUACCCGCAGAAGAAGCACCGGCUAACUCCGUGCCAGCAGCCGCGGUAAUUC
rnacentral:rRNA from 1 species